AUUGAACGCUGACGGCAGGCCUAAGACAUGCAAGUCGAGCGGAGCGGCGGACGGGUGAGUAAUUCCUAGGAAUCUGCCUGGUAGUGGGGGAUAAAGUCCGGCAACGGGCCCUAAUACCGCGUACUAUCAGAUGAGCCUAGGUCGGGUGCGCUAUUUGGUGGGGUAAAGGCCUACCAAGCCGACGAUGCGUAACUGGUCUGAGAGGAUGAUCAGUCACACUGGAACUGAGACCCGGUCCAGACUGCUGCGGGAGGCAGCAGUGGGGAAUAUUGGAGAAUGGGCGAAAGCCUGAUCCAGCCAGGCCGCGUGUGUGAAGAAGGUAUUCGGAUUGUAAAGCACUUUAAGUUGGGAGGCGUUACCAACAGAAUAAGCACCGGCUAACUUCGUGCCAGCCGCCGCGGUAAUA
rnacentral:rRNA from 1 species